AUCCUACUCUAAUAAGGCUUUAAUAUCUGGAGCUCAUAGGUGGGAGAUAAAAUAUACAUACUUACAAGACAUGUAUUGCAUAGUCAAACCAUGGAUCCAAAGUAACAAGUCAAUAAGUUUAAUCAAGAUGUGCAUGUGUGGCGAAUGAAUGGUAUAUGGUGAUGAUGGUGAUAACAAUGGUGAAAACAAUGGUGGUGAAAGUCUAAUUCUACUUUGCUCUUCUGAGGGGAUACAUACCUUCCUUGCUUUUGAAACUUUAUGAGGAGAAUGAGAUGCUCUUCUUUUUCUUUUCUCUCAGGUGGGUAUCUUGCACCCCUAAUUCUACUGUCAGACACUUGUCCAUUUUUACCUCUCGUCUCACUUUUUCUUUUCUUUCGAGGUUCCGAGCACUUGCUCCUUUUUAUUUCCUCGUAUUAUUCUUCUCUCUCUCUUUUUUUUAGAGCAUUCAUCUCUUGAGAUAAUAUAGCAAGUGGUAGUAACAAGAUAACUUGAGCAUUUAUUUCACAAGGGGAAAACAGAAAUAUUUUUAGUUAUUCUCUCCCGGAUUAGGAGUAGAAUAUUUUUAGGUGGUUCUGGAGAUGGAAAUGAGUGGAUGUAUGUGGAUGGUACUUCCGGAGUAGAAGUAGCAUAUAUGAGUGAAUGUGCAAGUGAAAUCUUGAUUUAACCACAUGACAAGCUCCUAAGGGUCUACACAGCUUGACCAUACUCAAUGCUCACAAGCAGUAAAUAGUAAAUGUGUGGCUCAAAGUCUAGCAAGCAUGUAUAUAUGGCUGUGGUAGAAAUUUAAGCUCUCAUCAUACAGGAACUCAUCAUGCAACAUUUUAAAGAUUUUCAAAGAUAAAUUCUCCAGAAUUCUAGCAUCUCUAGGAACAGAUAAACAGCAGCUCAACCUUCCUAUAUCGUAUCCGUUAACAACUUAGACUUCAGAUCAAGUUUUCAUCCCACAAGUUUAGGUCUAGGGCAAGCUUUAAAUUAUAACAGUUAUGUCUAAACUUGAGAGAGAACUUAAAAUGUGCAAAUUAGGCAGAGCAACUAUUCA
rnacentral:lncRNA from 1 species